CCAACAGGGAUUGCCUUAGUAACGGCGAGUGAAGCGGCAAAAGCUCAAAUUUGAAAUCUGGCGCCUUCGGUGUCCGAGUUGUAAUUUGAAGAAGGUAACUUUGGAGUUGGCUCUUGUCUAUGUUCCUUGGAACAGGACGUCACAGAGGGUGAGAAUCCCGUGCGAUGAGAUGCCCAAUUCUAUGUAAAGUGCUUUCGAAGAGUCGAGUUGUUUGGGAAUGCAGCUCUAAGUGGGUGGUAAAUUCCAUCUAAAGCUAAAUAUUGGCGAGAGACCGAUAGCGAACAAGUACAGUGAUGGAAAGAUGAAAAGAACUUUGAAAAGAGAGUGAAAAAGUACGUGAAAUUGUUGAAAGGGAAGGGCUUGAGAUCAGACUUGGUAUUUUGCGAUCCUUUCCUUCUUGGUUGGGUUCUCCGCAGCUUACUGGGCCAGCAUCGGUUUGGAUGGUAGGAUAAUGAUUAAGGAAUGUGGCUCUACUUCGGUGGAGUGUUAUAGCCUUGGUUGAUACUGCCUGUCUAGACCGAGGACUGCGUCUUUGACUAGGAUGCUGG
rnacentral:rRNA from 1 species